rnacentral:rRNA from 1 species
GAUGAACGCUGGCGGCGUGCCUAAUACAUGCAAGUCGAGCGAAUGGAUUAAGAGCUUGCUCUUAUGAAGUUAGCGGCGGACGGGUGAGUAACACGUGGGUAACCUGCCCAUAAGACUGGGAUAACUCCGGGAAACCGGGGCUAAUACCGGAUAACAUUUUGAACCGCAUGGUUCGAAAUUGAAAGGCGGCUUCGACUGUCACUUAUGGAUGGACCCGCGUCGCAUUAGCUAGUUGGUGAGGUAACGGCUCACCAAGGCAACGAUGCGUAGCCGACCUGAGAGGGUGAUCGGCCACACUGGGACUGAGACACGGCCCAGACUCCUACGGGAGGCAGCAGUAGGGAAUCUUCCGCAAUGGACGAAAGUCUGACGGAGCAACGCCACGUGAGUGAUGAAGGCUUUCGGGUCGUAAAACUCUGUUGUUAGGGAAGAACAAGUGCUAGUUGAGUAAGCUGGCACCUUGAUGGUACCUAACCAGAAAGCCACGGCUAACUACGUGCCAGCCGCCGCAGUAA